GAAGAUGUAGCUCAGUGGUAGAGUGCUUGCCUAGCAUGUGAGAGGCCCUGGGUUCAAUCCUUGGUAUUAUUU
rnacentral:tRNA from 1 species